rnacentral:rRNA from 1 species
CAUGUCUAAGUAUAAGCAAUUAUACAGCGAAACUGCGAAUGGCUCAUUAUAUAAGUUAUCGUUUAUUUGAUAGUACCUUACUACUUGGAUAACCGUGGUAAUUCUAGAGCUAAUACAUGCUGAAAAUCCCGACUUCGGAAGGGAGGUAUUUAUUAGAUUAAAAACCAAUGCCCUCUGGGCUCCUUGGUGAUUCAUAAUAACUUUUCGAAUCGCACGGCCUUGCGCCGGCGAUGGUUCAUUCAAAUUUCUUCCCUAUCAACUUUCGAUGUUUGGGUAUUGGCCAAACAUGGUCGCAACGGGUAACGGAGGGUUAGGGCUCGACCCCGGAGAAGGAGCCUGAGAAACGGCUACUACAUCCAAGGAAGGCAGCAGGCGCGCAAAUUACCCAAUCCCGAUUCGGGGAGGUAGUGACAAUAAAUACUGAUACAGGGCUCUUUUGGGUCUUGUAAUUGGAAUGAGUACAAUUUAAAUCUCUUAACGAGGAACAAUUGGAGGGCAAGUCUGGUGCCAGCAGCCGCGGUAAUUCCAGCUCCAAUAGCGUAUAUUAAAGUUGUUGUGGUUAAAAAGCUCGUAGUUGAACCUUGGGCCUGGCUGGCCGGUCCGCCUCACCGCGUGUACUGGUCCGGCCGGGCCUUUCCCUCUGUGGAACCUCAUGCCCUUCACUGGGUGUGGCGGGGAAACAGGACUUUUACUUUGAAAAAAUUAGAGUGCUCCAGGCAGGCCUAUGCUCGAAUACAUUAGCAUGGAAUAAUAAAAUAGGACGCGUGGUUCUAUUUUGUUGGUUUCUAGGACCGCCGUAAUGAUUAAUAGGGACAGUCGGGGGCAUCAGUAUUCAAUUGUCAGAGGUGAAAUUCUUAGAUUUAUUGAAGACUAACUACUGCGAAAGCAUUUGCCAAGGAUGUUUUCAUUAAUCAGGAACGAAAGUUAGGGGAUCGAAGACGAUCAGAUACCGUCGUAGUCUUAACCAUAAACUAUGCCGACUAGGGAUCGGACGAUGUUAUUUUUUGACGCGUUCGGCACCUUACGAGAAAUCAAAGUGCUUGGGCUCCAGGGGGAG